AAUUGAAGAGGCGAUGGAGUUCGCCGUAAUUGCCUUUGAGCUGAUGACUCCUACCGGUAU
rnacentral:ncRNA from 2 species